ensembl:lncRNA
GCGGGUUCCAGAGCAAUGGCUUUUAACUCGUGCAGGCGGGUAAGUAUUCAACAAGUAGCUGUAUCUUCACACUGGGCUUUACAGGGCGUAUUCAAGGUCAGUAGCUUUUAGCUCGUACAAACAGGUAAGUAUUCAACAAGUGACUGACUCUUCACACUAGGCUUACUGAGCGGGUUCCAGAGCAAUGGCUUUUAACUCGUGCAGGCGGGUAAGUAUUCAACAAGUAGCUGUAUCUUCACACUGGGCUUUACAGGGCGUAUUCAAGGGCAAUAGCUUUUAGCUCGUACAGACAGGUAAGUAUUCAACAAGUAACUGUAUCUUCACGCUGGGCUUUACAGGGCGUAUUCAAGGGCAAUAGCUUUUAGCUCGUACAGACAGGUAAGUAUUCAACAAGUGACUGGAUCUUCACGCUGGGCUUACAGAGCGUAUUCAAGGUCAGUAGCUUUCCCCACAAUAUCCGCACAAUACCUUGUUUUGCUUUCACACUUCACCUUCGAGCUGGGUCCGGAGAACGGAGUUAUAGGCGGGCGUAGGUGGGAUAGGUGGGCACCGCCACGGCAGCCUACGUUCUUUCCAACAGGAACUUUUCUCGGCCUGGAGGGCAAGUACAGACAACAGGGAAACGGCACAGCACUGCAAAGCUUUAGUGCACACACGUCAAAGACAGACUCACCCACUGCACUACACACACUUCAGUGAUUUUUAAGGUCGGUACUCCACACCCGGUCGGAUUUCGUCCUGGAGGAAUUUGCAGUCGCUGUCACGGUAAGUGCUCCAAACUUUACGGUGUGGCCACAGCCAAAUAACAUCCAUUCACCCACGCUCUACUUCGGCUCACCCACUCGUCUCGUCC